UACGGGGGGGGGCAAGCGUCGUUCGGAAUUACUGGGCGUAAAGGGUGCGUAGGCGGCUUUCUAAGUUGGAUGUGAAAACUAUGGGCUCAACCCAUAGCCUGCAUCCAAAACUGGAGAGCUUGGGUACUGGAGGGGAAAGCGGAAUUCCUGGUGUAGCGGUGAAAUGCGUAGAUAUCAGGAGGAACACCGGUGGCGAAGGCGGCAUCCUGGACCGGCAUUGACGCUGAGGCGCGAAAGCCAGGGGAGCAAACGGG
rnacentral:rRNA from 1 species